CCCUAACUAGUUAAUUGAGUAUUAUUGUAGAAUUAUAUUAUAUUAUAAUUUAUUAUAUGCGAAUUAAUAUGAGAAAUGACAUGUUAAGACCCCGUUGGUGAGUUAGGGGCAUUUUAGUAAUUUUGACCCGAGAAGGGUAAAACUGUGAAUUUAAUUUAUUUAUGUGCUUAUGAACUAUAUUAUUAUAUAGUAUAUCUGGUGUGUCCUUUUUCAGGUGUGUUCUGACAAGUUGGCGCGGUAUAGUCACAAUUGGGUAUUUCGGGCCGAACCGGGUUCGGGGCCGAAAUAUAAUUUUGGGAUAAAUUAUUGGCAUUUUAUUUAUGUGUGAAUAAUCUGAAAUUAUUUAAAUAUGUGUUAUAGAUGAAAUGAAUUCAAUGCCCUUGAUUGUUUGAGUAUGUGAGAAAUGGCCCUAGGGGCAAAAUGGUAAAUAUGUAUUUUGGAUUUAUUUUCAACUAAAGGCAUUCUUUGUAAAAAAAUGAAAUUCAUUUCUGCAUUUACCUUAACUCUAAAACAGCCCCCUUCCCUCUCUCUCUCUCUCUCUCUCUCUCUCUCUCUCUCUCUCUCUCUCUCUCUCUCUCUCUCUCUCUCUCUCUUUGUAUUUGGUUGAAAAAUUGGUGAUUUGCUUGGUAUUCAAGCUUGAAAUUGAAGAAUUGUUUGAGUUGUGGCUUGAUCAUUGCAUUGAAGCUUGAGGAUUACCGGCACUUGGUCAGGAGCACCCGGGGAUUUGGAAUCUCCAUAUUUGUGGGACAUCAGGUAAGACAGUAGUUAGCACGUAGAGAUAUGCACAAUGGCGCUUAUAUGGAAUGUGAUUUAUAUGAGAAACUAGAAACCGGGAUUAGAGUUAUUACUCUAAAGUGAGCGGUUUAUUGGCUUAGGGUUAUUACCCAAGUGAAUUGUUAAUAUGUAAUUGUUAUGCCAUGAUGUAUAUAGUUUUAUAUUGAAGUAAAGGGUUAUGUGUUCAAGGCAUAAUCGGGUUGGACUCGGUAACUAGAACCGAGAUGAACCGUUCUAAAGCCUUAUUGUAAUUAGACGUGUGAGCGUAACAUGUAGGUCUAUGCCACAUAGACAUAAAUAGGCGUGUGAGCGUAACACGCAGGUCUGUGUCAUACAGACAAAUAUGAAAUGGCAUUAUUAUUAUUUAUGUGAUGAGUUAUAUAUGAUUAACGAUAUAUCUUACUGUCUUGCUGGGCUUGGCUCACGGGUGCUCUACUGUGGAGGAAAGGGUAAAUCUAUCUCUGAUCAGCCAUGAGUAUGGGAGUUGGACGAUGUAUGUACAUGUUCGGGCCACACUAGACCAAGCGGGUUGGGGUCUACCAGCGUUGAAACUUUUGUAACUCUAUUUUUGCUGUUUAGGUCGGCUAAGGAGAAAAGACUUGUAAUAUUUUGUAAAAUGAUUUUUUUUGGGCUCCCGAAACAUGUAACUUUUGUUUGUAAGGUUAAAAUUAUUACAAGUUUAUUUUCAUUC